CCUCUGUGAUGUUCCAAUAGAUCCUGCUGACCCUUCACCAUGUACUCAAUAGAAGGGAAGUGAGGAGACGUCUUUACUGAGAGG